GAUGAAGAACGUAGCGAAAUGCGAUAAGUAAUGUGAAUUGCAGAAUUCAGUGAAUCAUCGAAUCUUUGAACGCACAUUGCGCCCGCGAGUAUUCUCGCGGGCAUGCCUGUCCGAGCGUCAUUUCAACCCUCAGGGCCCGCCUGCUUGCAGGCGCGGCGCUGGUGUUGGGGAUCGGCUACCCUGCCGUCCCCCAAAUACAGUGGCGGUCUCGCUGCAGCCUCCCUUGCGUAGUAGCAACACUCGCAUGCGGAGCGCGGCGCGGCCACGCCGUAAAACCCCCGACUUUCUGAACGUUGACCUCGGAUCAGGUAGGAAUACCCGCUGAACUUAAGCAUAUCAAUAAGCGGAGGA
rnacentral:misc_RNA from 1 species